rnacentral:rRNA from 1 species
UACGAAGGGGACUAGCGUUGUUCGGAUUUACUGGGCGUAAAGCGCGCGUAGGCGGAUCGCUAAGUCAGGGGUGAAAUCCCAAGGCUCAACCUUGGAACUGCCUUUGAUACUGACGAUCUGGAGAUCGGGAGAGGUGAGUGGAAUUCCGAGUGUAGAGGUGAAAUUCGUAGAUAUUCGGAGGAACACCAGUGGCGAAGGCGGCUCACUGGUCCGGUACUGACGCUGAGGUGCGAAAGCGUGGGGAGCAAACAGG